rnacentral:tRNA from 1 species
GCGGUCGUGGCGAAACGGCAGACGCGCUAGCUUCAGGCGCUAGUGAAGGCAACUUCAUGGUGGUUCAAAUCCACUCGGCCGCACCA